AACAUCAUCUUUGCCACCAACAUUGAUGGUCUGUCCUCUUGGUGGAGCAGCAGGGUCAUCGCCGAUGUCGAGGGCCUUCUUGCUGACCACGCGAUAGAUCUGAGCACUUUCUACAUUCAUGGACUCCAACGCGGACGUUUCCAUGAAGAAGGUGCUUUCCCUCUCGGCGAAGCCCUUGGCGUCCUCAACCGAUACGGCCCUAAGGUGACGCAGAUCAGCCUUGUUGCCAACAAGCAUGAUGACGAUGUUUGCAUCUGUGUGAUCCCGGAGCUCCUUCAACCACCUCUCUACAUUCUCAAAGGUGACAUGGCGUGUCACGUCGUACACGACAAGUGCGCCAACUGCCCCUCGAUAACUGAAUCCUACAGAAAAACAUUGAAUUUCCUGAAGAAACGAAGCGUGAUCAACCUAAUUGGCCGCAGUGCCGAACCAAGCAAUGCUGGAUGA
rnacentral:lncRNA from 2 species